rnacentral:lncRNA from 1 species
UGCCGUCUAGUGAAUAUUUGUACAGAUUAGGACAGAUGAAUAUGGAUGUGUUUUUGUGAGUGAAAGUUUGGUACACUUUCCCUGACAUAAGUGACAUACUUGGGCCAACUGGUUUUCAGUUCUUUGGCAAGUCUCACUUGAGUUCUGUGGGAGUGAUAACCACCUCUUUAUUUUCAUACCUCUGGUAACUGAGCUUUCCGAUCAGAAAACUGAACAAUUCUCAGCUUCCUGUUUCAUAUUCUCCACUGAAGAAGUGGCUGAAGCACUGGGUCAGGGACCAGCUUGGGUUUGGGGGCUAGUGUUCUAGUCUGUCUGUCUGUCUGGCCUUACAGCCUGGGGCUCAGAUAACUGCCUGGAGUGUUCUCUCCCUUGUAAAAUACCCAUCUCAUCCAGACUUGGCUCCCCAAGAGUGUGGUGGCAGAGAUAGACACUAGAUUUCCCCCCCUCCCCCUUGACACAAUAUAUGACC